GAUGAAGAACGCAGCGAAAUGCGAUACUUGGUGUGAAUUGCAGAAUCCCGUGAACCAUCGAGUCUUUGAACGCAAGUUGCGCCCGAAGCCACUAGGCCGAGGGCACGCCUGCCUGGGCGUCACACGCCGUUGCCCCCCCAUCUACUCCUUCGGGAUUGCGGGGGGGCGGAUGAUGGCCUCCCGUGCGCCUAGCCGCGCGGUUGGCAUAAAUACCAAGUCCUCGGCGACGCACGCCACGACAAUCGGUGGUUGCGAACCCUCGGUUGCCCGUCGUGUGCGUUCGUCGCGCAUCGAGGGCUCGAAAAAAUGCUCGGCUCCGGCUGGGCUUUCAACGCGACCCCAGGUCAGGCGGGGUUACCCGCUGAAUUUAAGCAUAUCAAUAAGCGGAGGA
rnacentral:misc_RNA from 1 species